UACGGAGGAUCCAAGCGUUAUCCGGAUUUAUUGGGUUUAAAGGGUGCGUAGGCGGCCUAUUAAGUCAGUGGUGAAAGACGGUGGCUCAACCAUCGCAGUGCCUUUGAUACUGAUAGGCUUGAAUGAACUUGAGGUAGGCGGAAUGUGACAAGUAGCGGUGAAAUGCAUAGAUAUGUCACAGAACACCAAUUGCGAAGGCAGCUUACUAAGGUUUAAUUGACGCUGAGGCACGAAAGCGUGGGGAUCAAACAGG
rnacentral:rRNA from 1 species